AUUGAACGCUGGCGGCAUGCCUUACACAUGCAAGUCGAGCGGCAGCGCGGGGGCAACCCUGGCGGCGAGCGGCGAACGGGUGAGUAAUACAUCGGAACGUGUCCAGUAGCGGGGGAGUAACCUGUCGAAAGAUAGGCUAAUACCGCGUACGACCUACGGGUGGAAAGCGGGGGACCGCAAGGCCUCGCACUAUUGGAGCGGCCGAUGUCGGAUUAGCUAGUUGGCGGGGUAACGGCCCACCAAGGCGACGAUCCGUAGCUGGUCUGAGAGGACGACCAGCCACACUGGAAC
rnacentral:rRNA from 1 species